UUUUCUCUUAAACUCCAAUCAAAUAAGAAAUCUUCUCUCUACUUUUCAGAAACUAGCUCUUCCCUCCUCCACUUCCCACAAACCAAAUGAGUCCUAAUUGAGAAAUUCAUAGACCUUGGUGGGAUAGGAGAAUUAAUAAAGGGGAACCUGUUGCCCUCGAUGAAAGUGGCAUAACCUCUUUUCAAAUGAAUCGAAGAAGAGAUUGCACCCAAAUCCUAAGAACGGGAAUCAAGUUUGUCAGAGCCUGGGUAAGCAUUUUCUAGUUGGCACAUUGGCCCCUUUUAAUAGAGGGUAAUUUUAGUGGAGACAUACAUAUUGAUGAUAUUUGGUAUAUCUAUAUA
rnacentral:lncRNA from 1 species